GGCUGGAUAGCUCAAUGGUAGGGCAUCACUUUCCGGUGCUGAAGCUUCUGGGUUCGAGUCCCAGUUCGGUCG